GAAAUGCGAUAAGUAAUGUGAAUUGCAGAAUUCAGUGAAUCAUCGAAUCCUUGAACGCACAUUGCGCCCGCCAGUAUUCUGGCGGGCAUGCCUGUCCGAGCGUCAUUUCAACCAUCAAGCCCCCGGGCUUGUGUUGGGGACCUGCGGCUGCCCGCAGGCCCUGAAAACCAGUGGCGGGCUCGCUGUCACACCGAGCGUAGUAGCAAUCACCUCGCUCAGGGCGUGCUGCGGGUUCCGGCCGUUAAACAGCCUUACAAAACCCAAGGUUGACCUCGGAUCAGGUAGGAAUACCCGCUGAACUUAAGC
rnacentral:misc_RNA from 1 species